AUUGAACGCUGGCGGCAGGCUUAACACAUGCAAGUCGAGCGAGCGGCGAACGGGUGAGUAAUGUCUGGGAAACUGCCUGAUGGAGGGGGAUAACUACUGGAAACGGUAGCUAAUACCGCCUACCCUCAGAUGUGACCAGAUGGGAUUAGCUAGUAGGUGGGGUAAUUGCUCACCUAGGCGACGAUCCCUAGCUGGUCUGAGAGGAUGACAAGCCAAACUGGAACUUAGACACGGUACAGACUCCUCCGGUAGGCAGCAGUGGGGAAGAUUGCACAAUGUGCGCAAGCCUGAUGCAGCCAUGCCGCUUGUGUGAAGAAGGCCUUCGGGUUAUACAGAACUUUCAGCGAUGAGGCGUUACUCUCAAAAGAAGCACCGGCUAACUCCGUGCCAGCAGCCGCGGUAAUAC
rnacentral:rRNA from 1 species